AGUUGUAACGCCCCAAUUUUCGGGAAUCCUGUGAAUGUUGGCAUAGGUUUAAUUAUGUUAGUGGGCCUCUAGAAAGCCCAAGCUUAAGAUAGAACCCGACAAUUUUAGUUAAUUUUUGUUCCAUAAGAAAAAGGGGGUGAAAUUAUGAAAUAGAACCUAUGUGAAAAUGUUUGAAAAUGCUAUAGGCUAAAUUGAAGUGGCCAAAUAAAUAGGAGUGCAAAAUAGGAGGAUUUGCAUGACAAACCUCCCAUUUUACAUGUAGUGGCUGGUCAUCAUAUUGUUGUAGACAAAAUGUACACUUGAUAUCCAUAAUUUAUGGUACAAAUUCAUACAAAUUGAUAAUAGGUUAGGUAAAUGUUCCAUGAUAAUAGGUUAGGUAAAUGUUCCAUGAUAAUGGGUUAGGUAAAUGUUCCAUGAUAAUGGGUUAGGUAAAUGUUUCAUGAUAAUCGGUUAGGUAAAUGUUUCAUGAUAAUGGGUUAGGUAAAUGUUUCAUGAUAAGAAUUUCAUGUCUUUUGUAUUAAAGAAUUAAAUGGAUGAAAUAUGAAGUUUUAUUAAAAGAAAAAGGGGUGAAAAGAACAAAGUUUUGUCCAUCUUUGUUCAUCAUAGCCUAAAGUUAGAGAAGAGAAAGGAGAGGAGAAAGCUCUUGAAUGUUCGGUCACUUGGGGAAGAAAAUUGAAGGCGGUUCGUGUAAGGAUCUCGUCAGCAUAUCGUCGCAAACAGGAAAUCCCCAACUAUAGUGGGCUUGGAGCUGUGAGGGAAUUCGGAGUGGCCACCCGUUCUGAAAGUUUGAUUUUCUUCUGGUGAAUUGGACAUCCUUUUAUUUACGUUUGAGGUUUUGGCCUUUUAAAUGUAAUAAGGCCGCUUAUUUAUUUUUGAUGGUUUUUAAUAUGUAUUACUAAGAUAGGUAAUACUUAUUUUAACUGUUGAAAUUGGAUAGCUUUAGGGGGCGUUUUCAAAAACAACAGUUGAUUUCAAAAUAACACGACAACAAGCAAAGCUUCCGCAAUGAAA